CGGUCUCUCUUCCCUUCUCUAGGUGGAGAGAGAGAAGGUGGGAAGACAGUGGGAAACUGGAACUUCCGCAACAAAGGCUACUGAGAGAAAAACGCCACCCCUGCGAGACAAUUUCCCCUGUAGUGGCUGUAUCAGUAGAAAUGAAUGGUCUUACAUUAAGAGGAGACACGUGAUUUCAGAAGAGACCUGGAAUUGAAAAGAAUGCCUCUAACUCUCUGGAGAUUACAAAAUGUCCUCAGUGACAAAUGGGGAGUAUUCUACAACCUAUGAAAUGAAAGACUUACAACUUUAAUCUCAAAAUGUAAACAGUUCUUAAAAGUAAAUAAAAGAGCAUGCACACAAAAGCAGACAGAGGACAUAAAUUAACAGUGGGUAAAAGAAGAAAUACAAAGAUCCCAAUACGACCUCAGUUCUCCUGCCAAGGCUUCUUACCUGCUUCAGAUUUCCUGCAAAAGAGGCCAUGGUCAAGAGUUUGUCUUCACGUGACAUCCAUACAUAUUAGCAUUAGAUUGGCAAACUGAAGGUAAAGAAAAUGGAAAAAAAAAAAGAAGAAGAAGAAAGGAAAAGGAUACUUCUAUCUAUGGAAUUCGGCCAGAACCUGUAAAGUCUCAUUGUUAUCAACUGUUCACUGGUAAUCCAUGCAAUGCAUGCAUUCUAGCAAUUGUUGCUGUUAACGUAGUUCUUUCCUUUAAAAAAUACAGCCAAGUCAGUUUUCCCCACAGGUGAAGAGGAAAAGGGCAGAGGUAAUCCAAAAAUAAUUUUAUAGUUGACUUGGGAAUAUCCUGAAGGUAUUCUGGUAGUACAGCAUGUUUUCCUUUUAGUUCUGUUAAAAUUCAAUUGUAACUCCUAGAUACAUAUCAGCUAACAGCAGACAAAAGGUCCCUAUAUCAGACUUGGAUAGAAGUCAGACUGGGAUUAAAAAUCUGCAAAUCAUGGAAUAAUCCAGUCAUGAGUAACCAGGGGCUGACUGUUUUGAAUGGAUAUCUCUGGCCUUCACAAUGCCCCCUUGACCAAGCUCAGUCCAGGACAGCAAUUGUUGUAACAUUUUCCCUCUGGUAAUGCAGUUAACAAAACACUCCAGUGCUGCCCUCCACUAAUUACUUAUUUCUGUCUAGGUUCUUAGCAGAAAACAAAGAAGUCACGACUUUUAAUUCAAAGGCUGUCCUGGUUCCUUUUCUAAGGGGCCCACAGAGGCUCCAGUGAAAGGAUUUUAUGGAAGUCACUCUCUGGGCCUGACUCACGUGAUCUCUCACCACAAACCUCUAGCAGGCAGGGAAACAUUCUUCACACCCUGUCUAUUAUUAAUAAUCUGAGAGUCUGAACUUGAAUUGAGUCCAUAUGCUACAACUUUGUCUCAACGGUGUGCCAGAAAACAAAUUUCCUAGAGUUAACUGUAGGACCUGUCAGAAUAUCAAGCAACGCAUGUAGACAUGAUAACCAUCGCAUAAAAUGUGCCAUGUCAUUAACGGGGGCACAAAAGCCAGCCAUUUGCCUAAAAGCCUUCCAGGCAUUUUGGUGUUUUUAUGUUCAAACACAUGGAUGGUACUCCAUAAAUACCUGACCUGUAAAUAAAAACAAUGCUAAAGCCAGGCAGAAUAACUGGGAUUAUCUGAUAAUAAAAUGGAUUGAUUUUACUUUUGCCUUUUUUCUCUUUUUUCUUU